AGGGGUGUAGCUCAAUUGGCAGAGCGUCGGUCUCCAAAACCGAAGGCUGCGGGUUCAAUUCCUGCCACCCCU
rnacentral:tRNA from 1 species